rnacentral:tRNA from 1 species
UCCGGUGUAGCUCAACGAAUUUCUCACUUGGAUAUGAGUUUCCGGGUUCGAAUCCCGGCACCGGAA